AAGCUGUCCAUCAUCUACCUGUGUGUGUGUGUCCUACAUCGACAAGCUGUCCAUCAUCUACCUGUGGUGUUGUGUCUCUACAUCGACAAGCUGUCCAUCAUCUACCUGUUGUGUGUGUCUCUACAUCGACAAGCUGUCCAUCAUCUACCUGUGUGUGUGUGUGUCUACAUCGACAAGCUGUCCAUCAUCUACCUGUGUGUGUGUGUCUACAUCGACAAGCUGUCCAUCAUCUACCUGUGUGUGUGUGUGUCUACAUCGACAAGCUGUCCACAUCUACCUGUGUGUGUGUGUCUACAUCGACAAGCUGUCCAUCAUCUACCUGUGUGUGUGUCUACAUCGACAAGCUGUCCAUCAUCUACCUGUGUGUGUGUCUACAAUCGACAAGCUGCCAUCUCUACCUGUGUGUGUUGUUCUACACGACAAGCGUCCAUCAUCUACCUGUGUGUGGGUGUCUACAUCGACAAGCUGUCCAUCAUCGACACUGUGUGUGUGUCCUACAUCGACAAGCUGUCCAUCAUUACCUGUGUGUGUGUCUAC
rnacentral:lncRNA from 1 species